GAUCGAUUACCAUGCCAUCUUUAUAUAAACAUUAUUUCAAUCGACCUUAGCCUACGUUCAAACAUUACAACUGAACAACUAACUUACUACAAUAGUUCAGGAUACAUGUUUUUGAUUUUCAAAUAUCACUAUUGCAAAAUAAGAAGGCAAACUUCCGUUGCAGUGUUAGAUUUGAACAUACCAAGACACUACAAUGAAUGAUGGUUUGAAAAAACUGGUGAUUUUUGGCAUUCAUGAAGGGGUCUCCGGAAGUAAUCAUGGUGUCCAAAGAAGAAUUCGAAAAAAAUGUGGAUGAGAUAUUGGAGGAUGCAGAUUGGUCAUCCCUCACUUCCAAAAAAGUGAGAAAAAUGUUGGAAGCAAAGUACAAAGAAGACUUCACCAGUCGGAAGAAAGAGAUAGAUGGCAUUGUUAUGAAGUGUAUCACAAGGAAACAAGAGCAAGAGAAACAGGAGCAAGAAAAUGGAGGGGAGUCAGAAUCUGAGUCAGAGGAAGAGGAAUUUGAAGCUCCGCCACCAAAGAAAAAGAAGCCAGCCCCAACCACUAAAGUGCCAGCUAAAUCACCUGAACCCAGAACUUUAAAGAAUAAAAAGGCACUAAGUGCAGAGGUUGCAAGGGACAGUUCAGAUAGUGAACCAGAGGCUGCACAACAGAUGGAGGGUGAUGAGGCACUAGCACAAAGGCUUCAAGAAGAGGAGGGUGGCCGGCCACGUAGAGCAGGCAGGAGGCCUCCAAAGGGGGUCCAACCAAAGAAGGAAAGAAAGAAAAGAGCAGGCUCAUCUGGGUACAGCAAACCUUGCCAACUGUCUGAUGAGCUUGCAGAAGUCAUGGGUACAGAUAGUUUGCCAAGGUCAGAUGUUGUAAAAAGAAUGUGGGAGAUAGUGAAAGAAAGAGAUAUUUAUGACCCCAAAAAUAAGCAGUUUAUGGUGUGUGACGAACAACUGUUUAAAAUAUUUAAGAAAAAGCGAGUGAGGAUAUUUGGUAUGAUGAAGUAUCUUACACAUCAUAUUCACCAGACGGGCAGCAUGGAAGACGAUGACAGAUAAAGUCAGUAUGCCCAAGAUAUGGAAUGACUUGGUUCACUCUACAAAAGAAACAAUUCCAUUAUAACACCCAUGAUUAGUCUGAUGGGAAGAAGCCCAUAUUAUUUUAAGUGAAUAUUAAACUAUAAGUAAAGGGUCAGUAAAAGUAUCUACAAGUAUGAUAAGUGAACUUCAAUAUCCUCAAAAAUGAAGGUGGAUAGAGAAGCAGAAUGGACAUAGUGCUAUCAUAUAGUGGAACGGCCCUGAUAGAGGUACAGUUGUGGAAAUAGGACAGGAGGAUGGCUACAAUAGCCACUACAUAUAAGACUAAAUAGGAUACGACACUUAUUCUGUCAUAUUAAUCCUUUGUAGAAAACUAAAACCAUGUAAUGCUAGAAAUAGGGAGAAUGAAUGCAAUUUUGAAGAAUCAAAUUUGAAUGCAUCAAUCUGCACUUUGGUCUCUCACUUGAUCUGUGCAAAUAUAGAUUGUAUCACAGUUCUAGAUGUUCUUGAUAAAUGAAUCUGCCUUUUAGUAAAUAGUACAAAUGAUAGCAUAUCAGAAAAAAA
rnacentral:misc_RNA from 1 species